rnacentral:rRNA from 1 species
AUGGCGUCGGCGAUUCCGCCAGUCGGCGGUGAGGGCGUCCACGGCGGCGGCGAGAUGCCGUUCUGGCCUCCUAGCGGAACGGUUGGCGUCGACGGGGAUGGCGGCGACGAGUCCAGCUCCGCGUACUCGACCGACGACGAGGAGUCGAUGUUACUCACCAUGGAGCAGCGGUUGCGGUUGGCGCAUCAGUGGGUGGCGAACCCUAGCAGCAGCCAUGAGUUGACGCAUGGACUUGGCGGCGUGCUUUUGGAUGAAGACAUUUGGCAAGUAAGGAUCCAUUUUGAUGCAAGAGAACCAUUGGAGAUGAAGCUGUGUGGUUCAGAUAUUACUUAUCUGAAUUUGGUUGCAGUGAUGGAAACCCAAGGAUUUAAUGCAUAUGAUUGUUUGUUUCACAUUGAAAAUCCAUCUUUAGGAGAGAAAGGGCUGGAUUUGGUAGACAAUCAUGCAGAAUUACAGAUGAUAAAGAGGAAGAUCCAGGACAAAUUGGUGCUUAAUUUGCUAGUCAGGGCUUGUCCACCCCCUGAUACUGAUUUUGAGAGGCAGCAUUUUGAGAAGCCAGACUUGUCCACUGUGGUGUACCAAGAGCCUGUUGUUUAUGAUCUGAGUGAGCCUCCUAUCUUAGCUGUUGAUCAGGAAGGAGUAGUCUUUGAGAGUCAAUGUAGCACACAUCACCCUGUUGCUCCUGCUGGUGUUUGCACACAAGAAAGCAGAAAUGCAACUAACAAGUUGAAAGCAGUUUUGGAAGAAUAA